GACGAACGCUGGCGGCGUGCCUAAUACAUGCAAGUAGAACGCUGAAGGAGGAGCUUGCUUCUCCGGAUGAGUUGCGAACGGGUGAGUAACACGUAGGUAACCUGCCUGGUAGCGGGGGAUAACUAUUGGAAACGAUAGCUAAUACCGCAUAACAGUAGAUGUUGCAUGACAUUUGCUUAAAAGGUGCAAUUGCAUCACUACCAGAUGGACCUGCGUUAUAUUAGCUAGUUGGUGAGGUAACGGCUCACCAAGGCGACGAUACAUAGCCGACCUGAGAGGGGGAUCGGCCACACUGGGACUGAGACACGGCCCAGACUCCUACGGGAGGCAGCAGUAGGGAAUCUUCGGCAAUGGACGGAAGUCUGACCGAGCAACGCCGCGUGAGUGAAGAAGGUUUUCGGAUCGUAAAGCUCUGUUGUAAGAGAAGAACGAGUGUGAGAGUGGAAAGUUCACACUGUGACGGUAUCUUACCAGAAAGGGACGGCUAACUACGUG
rnacentral:rRNA from 1 species